UACGUAGGGUGCAAGCGUUAAUCGGAAUUACUGGGCGUAAAGCGUGCGCAGGCGGUUAUGUAAGACAGAUGUGAAAUCCCCCGGGCUCAACCUGGGGACUGCAUUUGUGACUGCAUAGCUAGAGUCCGGAAGAGGCGAGUGGAAUUCCUGGUGUAGCGGUGAAAUGCGCAGAUAUCUGGAGGAACACCGGUGGCGAAGGCGGCUAUCUGGCCAUGUACUGACGCUGAGAUACGAAAGCGUGGGGAGCAAACAGG
rnacentral:rRNA from 1 species